rnacentral:rRNA from 1 species
GUGGGGAAUAUUGGACAAUGGGGGAAACCCUGAUCCAGCCAUGCCGCGUGUGUGAAGAAGGCCUUAGGGUUGUAAAGCACUUUCAGUGGGGAGGAAGGCUUCAGAUUAAUACUCUGGAGUACUUGACGUUACCCACAGAAGAAGCACCGGCUAAUUUCGUGCCAGCAGCCGCGGUAAUACGAAAGGUGCGAGCGUUAAUCGGAAUUACUGGGCGUAAAGCGCGCGUAGGCGGUUUGUUAAGUCUGAUGUGAAAGCCCCGGGCUCAACCUGGGAAGUGCAUCGGAUACUGGCAAGCUAGAAUGCGGUAGAAGGGGGUGGAAUUCCAGGUGUAGCGGUGAAAUGCGUAGAUAUCUGGAGGAACAUCAGUGGCGAAGGCGACACCCUGGACCGAUACUGACACUGAGGUGCGAAAGCGUGGGUAGCGAGCAGGAUUAGAAACCCGGGUAGUCC